rnacentral:rRNA from 1 species
UUACUGGGGCGUAAAAGCGCAUGCAGGUGGUUUGUUAAGUCAGAUGUGAAAGCCCGGGGCUCAACCUCGGAAUUGCAUUGAAACUGGCAAACUAGAGUACUGUAGAGGGGGUAGAAUUUCAGGUGUAGCGGUGAAAUGCGUAGAGAUCUGAAGGAAUACCGGUGGCGAAGGCGGCCCCCUGGACAGAUACUGACACUCAGAUGCGAAAGCGUGGGGAGCAAACAGGAUUAGAUACCCUGGUAG